ACGAACGCUGGCGGCGUGCCUAAUACAUGCAAGUAGAACGCUGAAGGAGGAGCUUGCUUCUCUGGAUGAGUUGCGAACGGGUGAGUAACGCGUAGGUAACCUGCCUGGUAGCGGGGGAUAACUAUUGGAAACGAUAGCUAAUACCGCAUAACAGUAGAUAUCGCAUGAUAUCUACUUGAAAGGUGCAAUUGCAUCACUACCAGAUGGACCUGCGUUGUAUUAGCUAGUUGGUGAGGUAGCGGCUCACCAAGGCGACGAUACAUAGCCGACCUGAGAGGGUGAUCGGCCACACUGGGACUGAGACACGGCCCAGACUCCUACGGGAGGCAGCAGUAGGGAAUCUUCGGCAAUGGACGGAAGUCUGACCGAGCAACGCCGCGUGAGUGAAGAAGGUUUUCGGAUCGUAAAGCUCUGUUGUAAGAGAAGAACGAGUGUGAGAGUGGAAAGUUCACACUGUGACGGUAUCUUACCAGAAAGGGACGGCUAACUACGUG
rnacentral:rRNA from 1 species